rnacentral:rRNA from 1 species
GAUGAACGCUGGCGGCGUGCCUAAUACAUGCAAGUCGAACGGAAAGACCCGGAGCUUGCUCGUCUGACGUUAGCCGAGGACGGGUGUGUCACACGUGGAUACCGUCCCUAUAAGACUGAGAUCACUUCGGGAAUCCGGCGAUAAUCCCGGAUAAUAUCUUGCACCGUGUGGGUCAUUGGAAAGAGACGGUUUUUCUGUCACUUCUCGCUGGUUCCGCGCCGCAUUAGCUAGUUGGUAAGGUCACAGCUUACCAAGGCUACCAGGCGUAGCCGACCGGAGAGGGGGAUCGGCCACCCGAGAACGGAGACACGGUCCAGACGCCUGAGAGACGCAGCAGUAGGGAACCGGACGCAAUGGUGGAAAGCCUGACGGAGCAACGCCGCGUGAGUGACGAAGGUCUUCGGAUCGUGAAACUCGGUUAUGAGUUAAGAACAAAUGUGUAAUUAACUAUGCACGUCUUGACGGUACCUAAUCAGAAAGCCACGGCUAACUACGUG